UCCAUCUUAGAUUACGAUUUCAGUGCAUAACUGGAUAUGGCGAGGACAAGAAACUAAAUACGAACAUAUCGACUGAUGAUUUGUUGAUAUCACCAGCUUUGAGGCUCUAGGUCUUAUUGCUACUAUAUUUGUCUUUGCUCCUGUGUGAAGUGUGUUGCAUUGGUGCUAGUGAGCUUUCAUUGUUCUCCAAAACUCAGGUAGCAGCUUUUAUCCAGUUCAAUCUUCCCUCUUGAAAAUUUUUAAUUAUUAGAUAGCAAGUUGUAGACCCUGAAAACUUUUCUUUAACUUCAUUGUAAGGAUUGACUUCAGAGGUAUGUACUGACUGCCUUUCUCAAAUCAAACAACAAUGACAUUAAUUCAAGACCAUUUGUACUGAAGCUUGUAGCUCGUAGGGAGCUAUGUCUGACACCUGCUAGGCUAGAAUCUAAAGUUGGCAACUCGCAAAUACUACAAUCUGGAAGAACAAUAAGUGACUUCAUUCCUCCACACAGGUAAGAACUGCUGCCUGUAACAUUGUAUUUAGUUAUUCAUCACCAUUGCAAGGUAUGCGACAGCAACACGAGGUGAAGCCGAGGGCUCAAUUUCUGGACACUGGCGACAGGAUGCUCAGUGAGGCUGUGCAAGCUAUUUCACCAUUCAAGUUGCUUGAGAGGAUGCUGAUCUAAGACAGAACCAGCUGAUGUUACCAUAGAGCCAGCUGAUAUUAUCAUAGAGCCAGCUGCAGAUCUUGCUGACAAAAGCCAUCGUCCACUAUCCAGAUUAUUCCUGUGUAAUUACACUGUUACAUAGUACCCGUUUUUUAUUUCUUUUUGCUUCCCUUUAUUUGUUGUCUUGGUUCCAGUUUACUUCCUGUAAAACAUAUAAUAACAACAAUGCAUAGUGGCAUGAAACUUUACAUGACAUGGAAAUAGAUGAGACAAUCCCAAGCAUUGCAUAUUUAUCAAA